rnacentral:rRNA from 1 species
AGUGAACGCUGGCGGUAGGCCUAACACAUGCAAGUCGAACGGCAGCACAGUAAGAGCUUGCUCUUACGGGUGGCGAGUGACGGACGGGUGAGGAAUACAUCGGAAUCUACUUUUUCGUGGGGGAUAACGUAGGGAAACUUACGCUAAUACCGCAUACGACCUACGGGUGAAAGCAGGGGAUCUUCGGACCUUGCGCGAUUGAAUGAGCCGAUGUCGGAUUAGCUAGUUGGCGGGGUAAAGGCCCACCAAGGCGACGAUCCGUAGCUGGUCUGAGAGGAUGAUCGGCCACACUGGAACUGAGACACGGUCCAGACUCCUACGGGAGGCAGCAGUGGGGAAUAUUGGACAAUGGUCGCAAGCCUGAUCCAGCCAUACCGCGUGGGUGAAGAAGGCCUUCGGGUUGUAAAGCCCUUUUGUUGGGAAAGAAAAGCAGCAGGUUAAUACCCCGCUGUUCUGACGGUACCCAAAGAAUAAGCACCGGCUAACUUCGUG